UACGAAGGGGGCUAGCGUUGUUCGGAAUUACUGGGCGUAAAGGGCGCGUAGGCGGCCUGCUAAGUCGAACGUGAAAUCCCCGGGCUCAACCCGGGAACUGCGUCCGAUACUGACAGGCUUGAAUCCGGGAGAGGGAUGUGGAAUUCCAGGUGUAGCGGUGAAAUGCGUAGAUAUCUGGAGGAACACCGGUGGCGAAGGCGGCAUCCUGGACCGGUAUUGACGCUGAUGCGCGAAAGCCAGGGGAGCAAACGGG
rnacentral:rRNA from 1 species